rnacentral:rRNA from 1 species
UACGUAGGGUGCAAGCGUUGUCCGGAAUUAUUGGGCGUAAAGAGCUCGUAGGCGGUUAGUCGCGUCUGCUGUGAAAACUCGGGGCUUAACUCCGGGCCUGCAGUGGGUACGGGCUGACUAGAGUGCGGUAGGGGAGACUGGAAUUCCUGGUGUAGCGGUGAAAUGCGCAGAUAUCAGGAGGAACACCGGUGGCGAAGGCGGGUCUCUGGGCCGAUAUUGACGCUGAGGAGCGAAAGCGUGGGGAGCGAACAGG